rnacentral:rRNA from 1 species
CAGUCGCCGCGGGAAUACGUAGGGUGCAAGCGUUAAUCGGAAUUACUGGGCGUAAAGCGUGCGCAGGCGGUUUUGUAAGACAGAGGUGAAAUCCCCGGGCUCAACCUGGGAACUGCCCUUGUGACUGCAAGGCUGGAGUGCGGCAGAGGGGGAUGGAAUUCCGCGUGUAGCAGUGAAAUGCGUAGAUAUGCGGAGGAACACCGAUGGCGAAGGCAAUCCCCUGGGCCUGCGCUGACGCUCAUGCACGAAAGCGUGAGGAGCAAACAGGAUUAGAGACCCCUGUAGUCCCUGUCUCUUAUAC